CACGAGGGCCUCACUAUCUAAAAAGAACCCCUAGUGAAAUUGAAUUAGCAGUGAAAAUGCUGCAUCCAAAUUGUUAGACGAGAAGUCCCCAGGAGCUUUACUGGAGGCGUAUGCCGUAGAUGAAGAUAGAGGGCGGGGGGGCCGUGCUUUAUCUUUGGCCGGUUGUAAGAAGGACAGUUUAGUUGGGGCGAUAGCCUUUUAAAAAGUAACGAGGGCGAACUAAAGAUAAGAGUUUGACUGUGAGGGCAAUGGGCUCAAACAGACAUGGGAGUGGGUUUUUGUGACCCGUUGGCGGGGGUGGAAAAGCCAACGAUAAGCA
rnacentral:rRNA from 1 species